GAUGAACGCUGGCGGCGUGCCUAAUACAUGCAAGUCGAGCGAACAGACGAGGAGCUUGCUCCUCUGACGUUAGCGGCGGACGGGUGAGUAACACGUGGAUAACCUACCUAUAAGACUGGGAUAACUUCGGGAAACCGGAGCUAAUACCGGAUAACAUGUUGAACCGCAUGGUUCAACAGUGAAAGACGGUCUUGCUGUCACUUAUAGAUGGAUCCGCGCCGCAUUAGCUAGUUGGUAAGGUAACGGCUUACCGAGGCAACGAUGCGUAGCCGACCUGAGAGGGUGAUCGGCCACACUGGAACUGAGACACGGUCCAGACUCCUACGGGAGGCAGCAGUAGGGAAUCUUCCGCAAUGGGCGAAAGCCUGACGGAGCAACGCCGCGUGAGUGAUGAAGGUCUUCGGAUCGUAAAACUCUGUUAUUAGGGAAGAACAAAUGUGUAAGUAACUAUGCACGUCUUGACGGUACCUAAUCAGAAAGCCACGGCUAACUACGUG
rnacentral:rRNA from 1 species